rnacentral:rRNA from 1 species
UGCCAGCAGCCGCGGUAAUACAGAGGUCCCAAGCGUUACUCGGAAUCACUGGGCGUAAAGAGCGUGUAGGCGGGUUUGUAAGUUGGAAGUGAAAUCCUAUGGCUCAACCAUAGAACUGCUUCCAAAACUGCUUACCUAGAAUAUGGGAGAGGUAGAUGGAAUUUCUGGUGUAGGGGUAAAGUCCGUAGAGAUCAGAAGGAAUACCGAUUGCGAAGGCGAUCUACUGGAACAUUAUUGACGCUGAGACGCGAAAGCAUGGGGAGCAAACAGGAUUAGAUA